ensembl:rRNA 5S_rRNA 5S ribosomal RNA
UGCCACAGUCAUACCACCCUGCAGCCCAAGACCAGUUACUCACAAAAGCUAAGCAGGGCUGAGCCUGGUAAGUACCUGGAUUGGAGACCACAUGGAAAAACUAGGUUGCUGUCGGAA